AAUCAACGCUGGCGGCGUGCCUAACACAUGCAAGUCGAGCGAGAAAGUGUAGCAAUACAUGAGUACAGCGGCGCACGGGUGAGUAACACGUGGGUAAUCUGCCCUAGAGUGGGGAAUAAC
rnacentral:rRNA from 1 species